rnacentral:rRNA from 1 species
AUUGAACGCUGGCGGCAGGCUUAACACAUGCAAGUCGAGCGGGGGAAGGUAGCUUGCUACCGGACCUAGCGGCGGACGGGUGAGUAAUGCUUAGGAAUCUGCCUAUUAGUGGGGGACAACAUCUCGAAAGGGAUGCUAAUACCGCAUACGUCCUACGGGAGAAAGCAGGGGAUCUUCGGACCUUGCGCUAAUAGAUGAGCCUAAGUCGGAUUAGCUAGUUGGUGGGGUAAAGGCCUACCAAGGCGACGAUCUGUAGCGGGUCUGAGAGGAUGAUCCGCCACACUGGGACUGAGACACGGCCCAGACUCCUACGGGAGGCAGCAGUGGGGAAUAUUGGACAAUGGGGGGAACCCUGAUCCAGCCAUGCCGCGUGUGUGAAGAAGGCCUUAUGGUUGUAAAGCACUUUAAGCGAGGAGGAGGCUACUUUAGUUAAUACCUAGAGAUAGUGGACGUUACUCGCAGAAUAAGCACCGGCUAACUCUGUGCCAGCAGCCGCGGUAAUACAGAGGGUGCGAGCGUUAAUCGGAUUUACUGGGCGUAAAGCGUGCGUAGGCGGCUUAUUAAGUCGGAUGUGAAAUCCCCGAGCUUAACUUGGGAAUUGCAUUCGAUACUGGUGAGCUAGAGUAUGGGAGAGGGUGGUAGAAUUCCAGGUGUAGCGGUGAAAUGCGUAGAGAUCUGGAGGAAUACCGAUGGCGAAAGCAGCCAUCUGGCCUAAUACUGACGCUGAGGUACGAAAGCAUGGGGAGCAA